UGGAGCAGUUUAAUGUUUUUUUUAAAGAGGAAUAAUAUCUGAGAUAGAUUCCAGUCUGGUUUUAGAGCCGGCCACAGUACAGAGUCUGCUCUUUUGAGGGUCUCCAAUGAUAUCUUAAGAGGUGUUGACUCUGGGAGUUGUGUUGUUCUAAUUUUGUUAGAUCUUACUGCAGCAUUCGAUACAGUUGA